CAGAUUUGCAGAUUGGCGCAUGUUUUCAAUCUGAUAAGAUAUUAAUCGGUUAUUCGAAGAUUUUAUUCUUUCUUUUCUGCUUUGUCUGGUGAAUGAGAUAAGUCAUCAGAGUUGAGUUCUUGAUAUAGAUAUUUUUUGGUAUUAAAUUUUGAGAUUUAGUUAGUACUUCAUACUUUCUAUUGGUUUAGUGAAACUCAAUUAAAAAUUGAGUUUUUGGGUGAAGCCCAGAUUUUCGAUUUGAAUAUAUAUUUCCAAGUUGAACUUCGUUGACCAACAUCCAACUUCGAAGAAUCAAUCACACCUGAAAACUGUGGUGAUCAGAACCUGGAAAUCCUUAUAUGGUGCUGUGUACAGUAUCGUACCAAAUCAGAUGGUUCUUCCUGCAUAGGAGCACUUCACCUGGAUUUUAAUUGCUAAUGGAAGUAUUCUGUUAUAUAUUUUGUUAUUUCAUUCGAUAUCCAAUUUAUAUAAUUUCGUAUGCUCUAUUUCAUUUUCCAUUUGAGACAUUGCGCUUCGAAGCUAUUCAUAAUAAUUUUCAUUGUUGAAAUCCAAUUGUAAGCAGCUAUUUUUCAAUAUUUCACUCUUAACUUUUUAUUCUAAUUUGAGCAAUUUAGUCGAUCUUAUUAAUAAAUCUCUGAAAGUGGA